AACGAACGCUGGCGGCAUGCCUAACACAUGCAAGUCGAACGAAGCCUUCGGGCUUAGUGGCGCACGGGUGCGUAACGCGUGGGAAUCUGCCCUUGGGUUCGGAAUAACAGUUAGAAAUGACUGCUAAUACCGAAUGAUGUCUUCGGACCAAAGAUUUAUCGCCCAAGGAUGAGCCCGCGUCGGAUUAGCUAGUUGGUGAGGUAAAGGCUCACCAAGGGCGACGAUCCGUAGCUGGUCUGAGAGGAUGAUCAGCCACACUGGGACUGAGACACGGCCCAGACUCCUACGGGAGGCAGCAGUGGGGAAUAUUGGACAAUGGGCGAAAGCCUGAUCCAGCAAUGCCGCGUGAGUGAUGAAGGCCUUAGGGUUGUAAAGCUCUUUUACCCGGGAUGAUAAUGACAGUACCGGGAGAAUAAGCCCCGGCUAACUCCGUGCCAGCAGCCGCGGU
rnacentral:rRNA from 1 species